ACUGAAAUACCAGUUCUCAUAUGAUCACUGAAGUUAAGCAAUGUCAAGCUGGAUCAGUACCUAGAUGGGUGACCACUUGGAAAUAUCAGGUGCU